UCAACUUAGCCUUGUCAAAUUUUUCAUUGUUUUUACAAAAUUUAUCGAAAACUAAUCCAUGUAAAAAAUUAAUAAUUGUGUUCAGAACAUAUAUGAAAAAUAAAUAGGUUGAUCAGCAAAUUUGGCAUGGCUGCAAAAUCUGUUAGUUCAGCACUCAACCGUUUCAUUCAAACUACCAUUGUCACUGAAAAUCUCCUUCCCGCCCAUUCAAAAUCCGUUACAACCACUAUUUUCUCUCUUCUUGAAGCUGGUCACCUCAAGAAAGCGGUUUCUACCCUCUUUGCUUCUCCAUUUCCCUUCCCUUUUCCUCUCUAUGGUCGCCUUUUCCAGCUUUGUGCUAAAAAUAACGCCAUUGUUGAAACUCGUAAGGUCGAGUCGCAUUUGGUUACUUACUUUGAUCCUCCACCAACUUUUUUGCUUAAUCGGGCUAUUGAAACUUAUGGUAAAUGUGGGUCUUUGAGGGAUGCACGUGAGCUGUUCGAUGAAAUGCCUAACAGAGAUGGAGGUAGUUGGAAUGCCCUUAUAACUGCAUACUCGCAAAAGGGUUCCAUGGAAACUUUAUCACUAUUUUUGAGGAUGAAUCGAUCUGGGUGGUCCCCUAAUGAGGUAUCUUUUGCUAGUGUUCUUGGGUCUUUUGGAGUUGUUUUGGGAUUGUGUUUUACGAGGGCUAUUCAUGGGUUUAUAUUGAAGCUUGGAUUGGGUUCGAAUGUGAUCUUAGCUAGUGCUUUAGUUGAUGUGUAUGGGAAGUGUGAUGACAUUGUUGAUGCUCAAAGGAUUUUCGAUGAGAUUGAUUGUCCGAAUGAUGUUUCAUGGAAUGUGAUUGCAAGACGAUAUUUGGAGGUGGGUAAUGACAGAGAAGCGAUUACUAUGUUAUUUGGUAGUAUUCAAGCUGGUGUAAAGCCAUUGACGUUUACUUUCUGUACUGCUCUUAUCGCGUGUUCUGCAAGGCGGGGCUUUUUAGAGGGAGUUCAAAUACAUGGUGUUGUGAUUAAGUGUAAAUAUGAAAGUGAUGCUGAAAUUGCUAACUCACUCAUUGAUAUGUACAUGAAAUGCAAUGAUGUUGUGAGUGCUAGGAAGAUAUUCAAUAAGCUUUGUGUUAAAGAUAUAUGUUUGUGGACUUGUAUGGCUUCGGGAUACGCAAAGGCUGGAAGACUUAAAGAAGCUCAGUCACUUUUCGAUGAGAUGCCUGAACGAAACAUCAUCUCUUGGAAUGCGAUGUUGGCCGGUUAUGUACACUUAGGCCAAUGGGAGGAAGCCCUGAAUUUUAUUUUCACGAUGUGUCAUGAAAUCAACCAAAUGAAUGCAAUAACCUAUAACCUAGUUCUAAAGGUUUCUACUGCACUCUCAGACAUAGAGUUUGGUAAACAAGUUCAUGCGUGCAUCUACCGACAUGGAUUCGCAUUUGAUCUAUUUGUUAGCAAUGCACUCAUUGACAUGUAUGGAAAAUGUGGCGGGUUAAGAAAUGCUAAAACUUGUUUUCGUAACAUAACUGGUCGGAGAGACACGAUAUCAUGGAACUCCUUGUUGACAUCUUUGGCCCGGCAUCACUUGAGUGAAGAUGUUAUUUAUAUGUUCAGCGAGAUGCUGAAGGAAACAAGUCCCAAUGAACAUACAUUUGCAAUUCUUCUUUCAACUUGUGCUAACAAAUUAGCACUAAAGCAAGGGAAAGAAGUGCAUUGUUUUAUGAUAAGGAAUUGCUAUGAGAUAGACGAUUUUGCCUUACAUUCUUUGCUUAACAUGUACUCUAAAUGUCGACAUCUUGAGUAGAUGUGUAUAUUGAUACAACUGAUGCACAUUAGGUACUCCAAUGCCUAGACGAACGAAAAUGGAAGGAAUGAGCUCUGUUGGCCCACUCAAAAUCUCUUACCAACUUCCUCAACUACACCAUGCUGUGAUUUGAGUGGUAAUAUGGUGUCAUGGCAAAGCCAUAUUCAACAAACUAUCAGUUAAGACACACAAAUUGGAUAGCGGAUAUGGGUAUGAGGAAGAAGAACAAAGCUCACUAGACGCACAAAGCAUACACAAAUGCAAACUCAAGCAAGAGGCAAGUGUUUAAUGGUGUUGAUGCAAGAACCAAAUCACCCAUUGGUGUGGACGUGGAUGAAGAUGCAAGAGAGGCCACAUUCCAUUAGCAUGAAGCAAGAGAAGUGACAAAUAGGGAUUAAACAGAGGUGCAUCGAGUGUGCAACACAUGCCUUGCUCAAGCAAGAAAGUAACAAAAUCGGGAGAUGGCUCGAUCGAUGUUAGAUACUUGUUUUUCGUGCUUCCUAUGUGCAAUUCUUUUGGGAUUCCUAUGUGUUGUUCCUUUGACCUUUGUAAGUCAUAAAGGGGGUUUUUUUGGGUGAGAAGAUGAACAAGGAAGAGUGUAAGAAAGCUUAGUGUUUGUUGAACCUUGUGAGAGACAUUUUCUUGUAUGAGAGAAACUUCAUUGGAGCUCUCGUAAGCUCUAGAAAGUGAGCAUUUUGUGAGUUUAUCCUUCAUUGUAAUUGUUGAAUUCCAAUUAAGAAUACAAAUUAUUGUAUGUGGGGGAGGGUACCUCAAGGUAUCGUUAAAUCUUGUGUUUUUUCUCUUGUUCUUG